rnacentral:lncRNA from 1 species
GUGUACUCAAAUGUCUUCCAAAAGCCACUCCUACCACCCCUGCAAAAUAGUUGGAGGGUGACACAAGAGUGAUAAACAUCUGGCCAUGGGAAUGCUCUGGAGUGAAUGGAGUUGUGAAUGGGGACCAGUGGCACUGGAGUGGUGGUGAUUUCACUCCACAUGAGACCAGAAUAAGCCAGGCUUGAUGCCCCUAUGUCCCAAGGGACAGGCAGUGACUCUGAGCACCCAGCUCAGGAAAGUCCCUCGAUCAAGGAAGAGGCUUCAGUAGAUGCUUCAUCCAAACUUUUCUGCUGGCAUGGAUCGAGGCUGGAUUUGUGAUUUCAUUGUUCACACUGAAAUCUGUGCUUAGUGUUGACUCAUAGAGGGAAGCAGAGGUUUGUGAUCUGUGGCAGGAAUCAGCUGUCUUGUUGGUCAAAGCUUCCAGCUUGAUGAUGGGGUAUUUGUUGGAGGAUGUAAGAAAUUCUACUGCUUGGGACUGAAAUAAUGUCACUUAAUUGCUAAGAGACUGGGAAAGCCUCAGAGAUUGAGUCCAUACCAACUGCUGGCUGACAUGCUGGUGAAAUCCUGCUGUUAUGGGAGACCCCAAAAUCCUCAGCACAAGAGAAAGAGGUACAGAGAGAGAAUGGAGCAAGGCAGGUCCCAGAGCCCUGGUUGUGCUGCCUGGUGUGUCCCAGCAGUGUCAGCUGCCUUGGAGCAGCACCUCAGCUACUUCUCCUGCUCUCUGAAGACUUGUGUGAAAUGACCAAGAUACAAAGGGCCAGGGCUGCUCCUGGAAGAGGAAAAGCCUAUUGGUGUUGCCUGAAUGAAGGGGCUGAGUCUCUGCAUUCAUAUCCUGGGAAAGCAGUUGAGAUUGAUCCUGGUUUGGUCACCCACUGAUGAGCUAAUUUUAACACCAACCAUGAACAUCUCACCGCUGGAAUUGCCGUGUGCCCGCUUGUGUGAGAGAGCAAAUCACUCCAGCAGUAGCGUGGAUCGUUCUUCUGCACCCAUUGUUAUGGAAAUCACCUUAGAGACUGUUGCUCCAGCAAACAUUUUUAGAAGCACCAGUGAGUUGCGCAACAGGAAAAGUGCUCGGAGGACCAGCUCUCCAGCCUGCGCCCAGGAGCCUCCUGCAGCCUCAGCUGAUGGAAGGGGAAAAGCACAGAUCCAGUGA